GGUUGUGUAGUGUAGUGGUUAUCACUCCAGAUUCUGAUCUAGUAUCUUCUGGCGACCCCGGUUCGACUCCGGGCACGACCU